rnacentral:rRNA from 1 species
CAGUAGCCGCGGUAAUACGUAGGUGGCAAGCGUUGUCCGGAAUUAUUGGGCGUAAAGGGCUCGCAGGCGGUUUCUUAAGUCUGAUGUGAAAGCCCCCGGCUCGACCGGGGAGGGUCAUUGGAAACUGGGAAACUUGAGUGCAGAAGAGGAGAGUGGAAUUCCACGUGUAGCGGUGAAAUGCGUAGAGAUGUGGAGGAACACCAGUGGCGAAGGCGACUCUCUGGUCUGUAACUGACGCUGAGGAGCGAAAGCGUGGGGAGCGAACAGGAUUAGAUACCCCCGUAGUCCCUGUCUCUUAUAA